rnacentral:rRNA from 1 species
CCUACGGGAGGCAGCAGUGGGGAAUUUUGGACAAUGGGGGCAACCCUGAUCCAGCCAUGCCGCGUGUGUGAAGAAGGCCUUCGGGUUGUAAAGCACUUUUGUUGGGGAAGAAACCGGCCGGGUUAAUACCCUGGUUGAAUGACGGUACCCAAAGAAGAAGCACCGGCUAACUUCGUGCCAGCAGCCGCGGUAAU